GACGAACGCUGGCGGCGUGCUUAACACAUGCAAGUCGAACGGCAAGGCCCUGCUUUUGUGGGGUGCUCGAGUGGCGAACGGGUGAGUAACACGUGAGUAACCUGCCCUUGACUUUGGGAUAACUUCAGGAAACUGGGGCUAAUACCGGAUAGGAGCUCCUGCUGCAUGGUGGGGGUUGGAAAGUUUCGGCGGUUGGGGAUGGACUCGCGGCUUAUCAGCUUGUUGGUGGGGUAGUGGCUUACCAAGGCUUUGACGGGUAGCCGGCCUGAGAGGGUGACCGGGCACAUUGGGACUGAGAUACGGCCCAGACUCCUACGGGAGGCAGCAGUGGGGAAUAUUGCACAAUGGGCGGAAGCCGGAUGCAGAAACGCCGCGUGCGGGAUGACGGCCUUCGGGUUGUAAACCGCUUUCGCCUGUGACGAAGCGGGAGUGACGGUAAUGGGUAAAGAAGCACCGGCUAACUACGUG
rnacentral:rRNA from 1 species